AACGCGAAGAACCUUACCGGGUCUUGACAUCCCACUGACCGGUUCAGAGAUAAGCCUUUCCCUUCGGGGACAGUGGUGACAGGUGGUGCAUGGUUGUCGUCAGCUCGUGUCGUGAGAUGUUGGGUUAAGUCCCGCAACGAGCGCAACCCUUGAUCUUAGUUGCCAGCAUUUAGUUGGGCACUCUAAGGUGACUGCCGGUGACAAACCGGAGGAAGGUGGGGAUGACGUCAAAUCAUCAUGCCCCUUAUGACCUGGGCUACACACGUGCUACAAUGGACGAUACAAAGGGCUGCAAACCCGCGAGGGGGAGCCAAUCCCAUAAAAUCGUUCUCAGUUCGGAUUGUAGGCUGCAACUCGCCUACAUGAAGCCGGAAUCGCUAGUAAUCGUGGAUCAGCAUGCCACGGUGAAUACGUUCCCGGGUCUUGUACACACCG
rnacentral:rRNA from 1 species